AUACGGAGGAUGCGAGCGUUAUCCGGAUUCAUUGGGUUUAAAGGGUGCGUAGGCUGUGCAAUAAGUCAGGGGUGAAAUACCGUCGCUCAACGUCGGGGCUGCCCUUGAUACUGUCGCGCUGGAGUGCGGAUGCCGCCGGAGGAAUGAGUGGUGUAGCGGUGAAAGGCAUAGAUAUCACUCAGAACACCGAUUGCGAAGGCUUCUGGGAAAUCCGCCACUGACGCGGAGGCACGAAAGCGGGGGGAUAGAACAGGAUUAGAUCCCCUGGUAUUCCACGCCGUAAACGAUGAUGGCUAACCGCCGGCGACACAUUGUCGGUGGCCAAGCGAAAGCGAUAAGCCAUCCACCUGGGGAGUACGACCGCAAGGUUGAAACUCAAAUGAAUUGACGGGGG
rnacentral:rRNA from 1 species